rnacentral:rRNA from 1 species
AGUGAACGCUGGCGGUAGGCCUAACACAUGCAAGUCGAACGGCAGCACAGAGGAGCUUGCUCCUUGGGUGGCGAGUGGCGGACGGGUGAGGAAUACAUCGGAAUCUACUCUGUCGUGGGGGAUAACGUAGGGAAACUUACGCUAAUACCGCAUACGACCUACGGGUGAAAGCAGGAGACCUUCGGGCCUUGCGCGAUUGAAUGAGCCGGUGUCGGAUUAGCUAGUUGGCGGGGUAAAGGCCCACCAAGGCGACGAUCCGUAGCUGGUCUGAGAGGAUGAUCAGCCACACUGGAACUGAGACACGGUCCAGACUCCUACGGGAGGCAGCAGUGGGGAAUAUUGGACAAUGGGCGCAAGCCUGAUCCAGCCAUACCGCGUGGGUGAAGAAGGCCUUCGGGUUGUAAAGCCCUUUUGUUGGGAAAGAAAUCCAGCUGGCUAAUACCCGGUUGGGAUGACGGUACCCAAAGAAUAAGCACCGGCUAACUUCGUGCCAGCCGCCGCAGUAA